AUUGAACGCUGGCGGCAGGCUUAACACAUGCAAGUCGAGCGGGGUGAUGGUGCUUGCACUAUCACUUAGCGGCGGAAGGGUGAGUAAUGCUUAGGAAUCUGCCUCUGAGGGGGGGACAACAUCUCGAAAGGGAUGCUAAUACCGCAUAAGUCCUACGAGAGAAAGCAGGGGAUCACUUGUGACCUUGCGCUAAUAGAUGAGCCGAAGACGGAUUAGCGAGGUGGUGGGGUCAAGGCCUACCAAGGCGGCGAUCUGUAGCGGGUCUGAGAGGAUGAUCCGGCACACUGGGACUGAGACACGGCCCAGACUCCUACGGGAGGCAGCAGUGGGGAAUAUUGGACAAUGGGGGGAACCCUGAUCCAGCCAUGCCGCGUGUGUGAAGGAGGCCUUAUGGUUGUAAAGCACUUUAAGCGAGGAGGAGGCUCUUUUGGUUAAUACCCAAGAUGAGUGGACGUUACUCGCAGAAUAAGCACCGGCUAACUCUGUGCCAGCCGCCGCCGUAA
rnacentral:rRNA from 1 species